CCAACAACGAUGAUGAGGAAGAGUAAAUGGGUGGAUUAGUAUAGAGAGGAAACGGGUGCUGGAAGUUUCUCUAAUUGCCGAUUGAACGUAGCCUUUGAGUUGCUUUUUUGAACUAAUAGUAGAAAAAGCCGGUGCGAGCCGUUACAGAAAUGAAGUGCUAAACGUUAAUCGUUUGGUAUAAAGGUGGUACCGCGGAAUGCUCUUUUCGUCCUUUCU
rnacentral:ncRNA from 1 species